UACAGAGGGUGCAAGCGUUAAUCGGAAUUACUGGGCGUAAAGCGCGCGCAGGCGGCGAUCUACGUCUGGGGUGAAAGCCCGGAGCUCAACUCCGGGACUGCCUUGGAUACGGGAUCGCUUGAGGAUUGGAGAGGCAAGGGGAAUUCCACGUGUAGCGGUGAAAUGCGUAGAUAUGUGGAGGAACACCUGUGGCGAAGGCGCCUUGCUGGCCAAUUUCUGACGCUGAGGCGCGAAAGCGUGGGGAGCAAACAGG
rnacentral:rRNA from 1 species